GGGUCAGUAGGUUGGUCGUGCCACCGGUACGUACUGGUCUCACUGAUUCCUCCUUCAUGAAGAACCGUAAUGCCAUUAAUUUGGUGUUGCGGGGAAACAGGACUGUUACUUUGAAAAAAUUAGAGUGUUUAAAGCAAGCUAACGCUUGAACACAUUAGCAUGGAAUAAUGAAAUAGGACGAUCGAUCCUAUUUUGUUGGUUUCUAGGAUUGACGUA
rnacentral:rRNA from 1 species